GGCGAGUCGCGCUGUGCGGGUGUCGGAGAUGGCGGGGCUUCAGCACCUCAGAUCCCGAAGAAAAGAUUGAUAUUGGGCUGCCUCCACCCAAAGUCUCCCGGACCCAACAGCUACUGGAACGGAAACAGGCCAUCCGGGAGCUUCGGGCCAAUGUGGAAGAGGAGCGGGCUGCCCGCCUCCGCACAGCCAGUGUCCCGCUGGAUGCUGUGCGGGCCGAGUGGGAGAGGACCUGUGGCCCCUACCACAAGCAGCGUCUGGCUGAGUAUUACGGCCUCUACCGAGACCUGUUCCACGGUGCUACCUUUGUGCCCCGAGUCCCUCUGCACGUGGCCUACGCUGUGGGUGAGGACGACCUGAUGCCCGUGUACUGUGGCAAUGAGGUGACUCCAACCGAGGUAACCGCUCACUUGUGCCCCUCCUCCCUGCAAGCACAGACACAUCCCAUCUCAGUGUCACAGACACUCCUGGGUUUGGAAUUUUGUUGUUCUCUGUCUCUUUGAUUUCCUGGAAGACAACACCAUGACAAUUUCAAAGAAAAUAGAACAAAAUGAAGGAAAAAAAGGCUCUGUCUUAGCACAUUCCUGUGACCGGCCUGCUGUCUGUGGUAUGCCCUCCUGCCCAGGCCUUGGCACAUGUUCGUUUUUGUGGUUGUUGCCUGGACAGGCAACUCUGCAGGGCUCCUUCUCUACACAUCCCUUUGCCUGCCUGCCUGUGCCAGGGGCUGUCAAGGGCUUUUGGGUCAGAGUGGGCACCCCUUUCUCCAAGGCUCCCUGCAACAGCUGGCCUGUCCCUGGUGGGGCUUACAGCUUCCUUCUCUCCCUGCCAGGCUGCCCAAGUGCCAGAGGUGACCUAUGAGGCAGAAG
rnacentral:sRNA from 1 species